UACGAAGGGGGCUAGCGUUGCUCGGAAUCACUGGGCGUAAAGCGCACGUAGGCGGGUCUUUAAGUCAGGGGUGAAAUCCUGGAGCUCGACUCCAGAACUGCCUUUGAUACUGAGGAUCUCGAGUCCGGGAGAGGUGAGUGGAACUCCGAGUGUAGAGGUGAAAUUCGUAGAUAUCAGGAAGAACACCCGUGGCGAAGGCGGUUCUCUGGGACGGUACUGACGCUGAGACGCGAAAGCGUGGGGAGCAAACAGG
rnacentral:rRNA from 1 species